rnacentral:sRNA from 1 species
AGUUAGCUCAUUUAACUCACGAUCAAGAUGAUAUGAGUCCAAAUUUAUAUAUAAAAAAUCAUAUUAUAAAUAAGAUGAGUUGAGUUGAGCGAACUAUCUUAUUUUGACAUCUAUAGGGUUUGGGUAUGUAACCCAUAUAAUAAAUGGGUUGGGUCAAACCCACCCGUUAAAAUCUUGAACAGGGUUUGAGUUAUUAUCCACUUUACACUCCUAAAUAGACUCAAGGCA